UGCCUGUAAUUCCAGCUCUGGUGAGUCUGA
rnacentral:piRNA from 1 species